GGUAGCUUAGUGGUAAAGUGCUUGCCUAGCAUGCAUGAAGCCCUGGGUUUGAUUCCUCAGUACCA
rnacentral:tRNA from 1 species